CUGAAGAUGGGAUGGCACUAUUGGUCUGGCUUCCUGAGGCCAACGAGUUUUCCUCUGCCUGGCCAGUGAGUUGUCUGAGGAGAUCCACCCUGAGGAGAAAAGAGAGAUCAGGUAGUUUUCCAAAGCAUCUGAUGGUCUUCCUCAACAGAUGGACCCAGACACUACUUGCUGUGGCUCAGGACUAGAAAGUAAAAUUCAUCAACUCAGAAGGCGUGGCUCAUCAGAACCGGUAGUGUUUUCGUUUUUCCUUUCCCGUGAGCGCCCCAAAGUAAAUUCUAUGCACGCCGACCGUCUGAGGGCAGAAACCCCCUGCUUUUAUUUUCUGCAGCACACAGCCCUGUAACGUGGAGGGAGUUUUGAUGCAAUGUCUUUCUGUGGGUGAAAAGAACAGAACCUUGACGCUGAAGCGUCCCAGCUCUGACGUGAGACGGCCUGUGAUGCAAAACAAAUUAAUCACCCCACGGCGGAGGCGUUGCGACGUGAAGUGGCCGAGCCGAAGGACUUUAUAUACAAACACCCACAGCACCUGCGGCUGAGGGGGGGUACUGCUCUGGGAUGACAUCUGGCCUCUCUGUUGGUGAGGAAAGCGAUGACACAACCCGAUCUGGUUGAAACCAAAUUAAUUUCUCCAGUCUAAACUACAGCACCAUGUCAGUGUUGACCCCUCAUGAAUCUUAGCAGAUCUUUCUGUCCUGCACUGUUCUUAUAAAAACACACACACACAAUAUUUACAAGAUUUGAUUAUGAUUUUUGCAGUCAUAACUGCAGCAAAACAGACCACGCCUUACAGGAUCUGAACUUCUGCUUCUUUCUGUCACCUGGCACAUGUGACACAUUCAGAGAUAACUGCAAUAAAACCAUAUACUGCUUUGA